CGAGCCCUGGAACAGAAGUUGGACAGUUUUUAAAGGUCUCUGCGCUCGCCAAGAGAAGGAAAUAGAUGCUCAGGAGUGAAAUACGGAGAGAAUCGGAUCUGGCGCCUCCUAACGCAGCGGGCAAGCAGGCGAAGGUCCUGUGUAGAUGGAAGUAUCAAAGUUAGAAAGACCAGCUUACAUAUAGCCUGAGUGUCUGGCUUUGGGCAUUUGGGGAAGACUUCGUGUCUAAAGUUCUGCAUCUUCCCGUGCUAGGAUCCGAAGGAAAGUUGGAAAUAACAGGAAAGCCUCCUCUUCACCCCACAACAUCUGUUCAUGGCAGAGAGCAGGCAUUUCUCCCUGGUGAGGCCAGGAUGUUCUGAAGCUGGAUGGACGGUUGGCCCUCACCCCAGCCCAAGGAGAGAAAUCUUGAGACCACCCCUUGCAAACUGAGAGCAGGUGAGUUUGCCCAGUUUACCCUAGCACAAAACUUUCUCAUUCAGGGGGCGCCUGGGUGGCUCAGUCGUUAAGUGUCUGCCUUCGGCUCAGGUCAUCAUCCCAGGGUCCUGGGAUCAAGCCCAGAGCUCUCCAUCAGGCUCCCUGCUCAGCGGGAAGCCUGCUUCUCCCACUACCACUCCCCCUGCUUAU